rnacentral:rRNA from 1 species
CACCUCUAGCAUAACUAGUAUUAGAGGCACUGCCUGCCCAGUGACAAUCGUUAAACGGCCGCGGUAUCUUGACCGUGCAAAGGUAGCAUAAUCACUUGUUCUCUAAAUAAGGACUUGUAUGAAUGGCCACACGAGGGUUUUACUGUCUCUUACUCUUAAUCAGUGAAAUUGACCUCCCCGUGAAGAGGCGGGGAUAAUACAAUAAGACGAGAAGACCCUAUGGAGCUUUAAUUAAUCAACUCAAAAAGCAUAAAAUAAUACCACCAAGGGAUAACAAAGCUUUACAUGAGCUGACAAUUUCGGUUGGGGUGACCUCGGAGUAUAAAAAACCCUCCGAGUGAUUAAAACUUAGGCUUACCGGCCAAAGUAUAGUAUCACUUAUUGAUCCAAAAUUUUGAUCAACGGAACAAGUUACCCUAGGGAUAACAGCGCAAUCCUAUUCUAGAGUCCAUAUCGACAAUAGGGUUUACGACCUCGAUGUUGGAUCAGGACAUCCUAAUGGUGCAGCAGCUAUUAAGGGUUCGUUUGUUCAACGAUUAAAGUCCU